CCAAAACAGAGCAUGGAUGCACACUGCCAAUAUAUCCGAACUCCCUGGAAAACUGCAGAGAUGCAGCGUGACCUCCACGGGAAAUGAAGGUAUCCGUCAGCUGAGUCCCAGCCUUCCAGCCAGAGCACCUUCUCCGUCACCCGUAGCUCUCACACCAUAAGAAAACAGCCGAAGAUUAGAUUUUGAUAAUGAGAGAGCCCAACGAUCCUGGACCCCUGGCCGGGAGGACAAUAGGGGAAACAGGUGAAACACUGUGUGAGCUGGACCACCCAGGCUCUCCAACACCAGGACACCAGAGCAUCCUUCCUCCUUCUUCUCUUCUGCUGCGACUUCCUGGAGGCAUAGCAGAGUUACAACUGCUGGCCAUGUGGAACUUCUCUUCUCCUAUAAGUUUGCUCUGAGAUGGAGAGAUUGUGCCUGUGGUUCAUUAGGAAGAGCUCUUGGGAUCAAUGCCUGUAAUAAGGAAGGGAAGGAAUCAGGAUUGGCCAGAAGGAGAAGUUGAGCUGUGUUGAAGCCUCAAUGGAGACCUCAGCCAAUUCUGAGUCAUGUCCUGAAGCUAGAAUAUGUCCUCUAAAUUAUCCCAAGCUGAGAUGAGGGAGCUGGGCAUUUAGCCCUGUAUUAGGCCAUUCUUGCACUGCUAUAAAGAAAUAACUAUGGCCUGGCGCCGUGGCUCACGUCCUUAAUCCUAGCACUUUGGGAGGCCGAGGCGAGCAGAUCACGAGGUCAGAGUUUGACACCAGCCUGGCCAAUAUGGUGAAACCCCAAUUCUACUAAAAAUACGAAAAUUAGCCAGGCGUGGUGGCACAUGUCUGUAAUCUCAGCUACUCGGGAGGCUGAGGCAGGAGAAUUGCUUGAACCCAGGAAGUGGAGGUUGCAGUGAGCUGAGAUUGUGCCUCUGCACUCCAGCCUAGGGAAUAAAGCGAAAGUCUGUCAAAAAAAAAAAAAAAAAGGAAAGAAGGAAAUAACUGAGACUGGUAAUUUAUAAAGAAGAGGUUUAAUUGGCUCACAGUUCCUCAUGCUAUACAAAAAGCAUGAUGCUGGCAUCUGCUCAGCUUCUUGGGAGGCCUCAGGAAAUGUACAAUCAUGGCAGAAGGUGACGCGGGAGCAGGCAGUUCACAGGGCCGGUGCAGGAGGAGAGAGAGAGGCAGGAGAUGCUACACGCCUUUAAACAACCAGAUCUCCUGAUAACUCACUCUCGUCACAACACCACCAAGGGAGAUGGUGUUAAACCAUGAGAAACCACCUCCACGAUCCAAUCACCUCCCACCAGGCCUCACCUCCAACACUGGGGAUUUAUAAUUCCACGUGAGAUUUGGGUAGAGGACACAGAUCCAAAAUAUAUCAUACCCCCACGUUGAUCAGUCAUUAGAUGUGGGCCACCCUAGUUGAGGCAGCUCCCCUCGCUCAGGUGGUUCCUGAAGCGAGCUGACAGCUGACGGCUGCAUGCCAGAGGUACUGUCAGCAGCUGAAGGAGAGUCUUUUGUGCUAAAAGCCAUCUUAAGCAGCACAGCACAGCGUCCACCACAUAUUGUGGACAGGUGAUAUGGUUUAGAUCUGUAUCCCCACCACAAUUUCAUGCUGAAUUGUAGUCCCCAAUGUUGGAGGUAAGCCCUGGUGGGAGGUGUUCGGGUCGUGGGAGCAGAUCCCUCAUGAAUGGCUUGGGCCAUCCUCUUGGUGAUGAGGGAACACUCACUCUGAGUGUUCACAAGAUCUGGUGGUUUAAACGUGUAUGGCACCUCUCCCCACCCCCACUCUUUCUUGUUCCUGCUUUUGCCAUGGGACUCGCAUGAUCCCUUUGCCUUCUGCCAGGACUAAAAGCUCCCUGGAGCCUCCUCAGAAGCUGAGCGAUGUUGGCGCCAUGCUUCUGGUACAGCCUGCAGAACCAUGAGCCAAUUCAACCUCCUUUCUUUAUAAAUUACCCAGUCUCAGGUAUUUCUUUAUGGCAAUACAAGAACACCAGGGGUUUGCAGGUAACCCGGGCCCCUGUCCUUGAGGACACAGCAGCAAGCCAUUGGUAAAGCAAAACUGUCCAUAAGGAAGGCUGCUCCCAUGCAGUGUUCAUUUGGGCAGCCCAGAAAUCGAGAAAUCCUCGGUCCAUUUCAAGUUUGGGGGAAAACUUAUUUUUAUCAUAUUUGAGAUGAAUAAUAAAAGCAAAUCCAGAAGUCGGAUGGCAUCUUUUAUUGGACUUAGACCUGGUGUUGUUGAAUGGGAUUAGAUCUGUGGGAUGAAGAAUGAAUCCUGAUUCACAGCCACUGCCCUAUACUGGACUUAUGGAGUCCACCCCUGACACACUGUGGCCUCGGGUGCUGAGACUUCCACAGGGUUUUGGAACUGCCCAGAUACAUGUGUGCCAAUUGGAGCCUGGGGUCUGUAUGUCUGUCUUCCAGAACUAAAGAUCUCUCAGAUCCAAAACUGGCUACAUAUUCUGGAGCAUGGAACUUUAAUUUCCUCUUUUAUUUGUUCAUUUGUUCAUCUAUGCAUUUGACAGGUAUUUACUGAAACUAGAUUGCAACUCAACCAGAUGUAGUGGGAGAGGCAGAUAAUUGAAAAAGGAAGUACAAUGGUGUGGGAAAAGUAUUAGGAAAGAGGAAGUGCAGGGUUGUAUGGGAGCUCGAGGAGGAACGGAGAAAGUCUCCCAGGAAAUAAGGGC
rnacentral:lncRNA from 10 species